CCUACGGGAGGCAGCAGUGAGGAAUAUUGGUCAAUGGACGCAAGUCUGAACCAGCCAUGCCGCGUGCAGGAAGACGGCUCUAUGAGUUGUAAACUGCUUUUGUACGAGGGUAAACGCAGAUACGCGUAUCUGUCUGAAAGUAUCGUACGAAUAAGGAUCGGCUAACUCCGUGCAAGCAGCCGCGGUAAUACGGAGGAUUCAAGCGUUAUCCGGAUUUAUUGGGUGUAAGGGGUGCGUAGGCGGUCGGAUAAGUUAGAGGUGAAAUCCCGAGGCUCAACUUCGGAAUUGCCUCUGAUACUGUUCGGCUAGAGAGUAGUUGCGGUAGGCGGAAUGUAUGGUGUAGCGGUGAAAUGCUUAGAGAUCAUACAGAACACCGAUUGCGAAGGCAGCUUACCAAGCUACUUCUGACGUUGAGGCACGAAAGCGUGGGGAGCAAACAGGAUUAGAUACCCCGGUAGUC
rnacentral:rRNA from 1 species